CCUACGGGAGGCAGCAGUAGGGAAUCUUCCACAAUGGGCGAAAGCCUGAUGGAGCAACGCCGCGUGGGUGAAGAAGGUCUUCGGAUCGUAAAACCCUGUUGUUAGAGAAGAAAGUGCGUGAGAGUAACUGUUCACGUUUCGACGGUAUCUAACCAGAAAGCCACGGCUAACUACGUGCCAGCAGCCGCGGGAAUACGUAGGUGGCAAGCGUUAGCCGGAUUUAUUGGGCGUAAAGGGAACGCAGGCGGUCUUUUAAGUCUGAGGUGAAAGCCUUCGGCUUAACCGGGGUAGUGCAUUGGAAACUGGGAGACGUGAGUGCAGAAGAGGAGAGUGGAACUCCAUGUGUAGCGGUGAAAUGCGGAGAUAUAUGGAAGAACACCAGUGGCGAACGCGGCUCUCUGGUCUGUAACUGACGCUGAGGUUCGAAAGCGUGGGUAGCAAACAGGAUUAGAUACCCGGGUAGUC
rnacentral:rRNA from 1 species